AGAUUGAACGCUGGCGGCAUGCCUAACACAUGCAAGUCGAACGGGAGUAGCAAUACUCUAGUGGCGGACGGGUGAGGAAUACGUAGGAAUUUGCCCUUAAGUGGGGGAUAACCCGGGGAAACCCGGAUUAAUACCGCAUGACCUCGAAAGAGCAAAGUGGGGGAUCGCAAGACCUCACGCUUUUGGAGAAGCCUACGUCGGAUUAGCUAGUUGGUGAGGUAAUGGCUCACCAAGGCGACGAUCCGUAACUGGUCUGGGAGGAUGAUCAGUCACACCGGAACUGAGACACGGUCCGGACCCCUACGGGAGGCAGCAGUGGGGAAUAUUGGACAAGUGGGCGCAAGCCUGAUCCAGCAAUGCCGCGUGUGUGAAGAAGGCCGUUGGUUAGUAAGCACGUUUAAGUAGGAAGUAAAAACUAGACUACUAACAC
rnacentral:rRNA from 1 species